rnacentral:rRNA from 1 species
UACGAAGGGGGCUAGCGUUGCUCGGAAUUACUGGGCGUAAAGGGAGCGUAGGCGGACAGUUUAGUCAGAGGUGAAAGCCCAGGGCUCAACCCUGGAAUUGCCUUUGAUACUGACUGUCUUGAGUGUGGGAGAGGUGUGUGGAACUCCGAGUGUAGAGGUGAAAUUCGUAGAUAUUCGGAAGAACACCAGUGGCGAAGGCGACACACUGGCCCAUUACUGACGCUGAGGCGCGAAAGCGUGGGGAGCAAACAGG